rnacentral:rRNA from 1 species
GAUGAACGCUAGCUACAGGCUUAACACAUGCAAGUCGAGGGGCAGCGGUAUCGAAAGCUUGCUUUCGGUAGCCGGCGACCGGCGCACGGGUGAGUAACGCGUAUCGAACCUGCCUCAUACUCGGGAAUAGCCUUGCGAAAGUAAGAUUAAUGCCCGGUGUUUUCAGAGUCCCGCAUGAGGCUUUGAACAAAGAUUUAUCGGUAUGAGAUGGCGAUGCGUCCCAUUAGCUUGUUGGCGGGGUAACGGCCCACCAAGGCAUCGAUGGGUAGGGGUUCUGAGAGGAAGGUCCCCCACAGUGGAACUGAGACACGGUCCAAACUCCUACGGGAGGCAGCAGUGAGGAAGAUUGGUCAAUGGGCGGAAGCCUGAACCAGCCAAGUAGCGUGCAGGAAGACGGCCCUCCGGGUUGUAAACUGCUUUUAGUUGGGAAUAAAACGGGGCUCGUGAGCCCCCUUGCAUGUACCAUCAGAAAAAGGACCGGCUAAUUCCGUG